rnacentral:rRNA from 1 species
AGCGAACGCUGGCGGCGUGCCUAACACAUGCAAGUCGAACGUGAAAUGGGGCAACCCAAAGUAAAGUGGCGUACGGGUGAGUAACGCGUAGGUAAUCUACCUGAGAGUCUGGAAUAACCGGCCGAAAGGCUGGCUAAUACUGGAUAGAGCGAGGAAUCCGUAAUUGGGUUUUUCGGGAAAGGGAGGCAGCAAUGCCCCUCGCUUUCAGAUGAGCCUGCGUCUCAUUAGCAGUUGGUGAGGUAAUGGCUCACCAAGGCAUUGAUGGGUAGCUGGUCUGAGAGGAUGAUCAGCCACACUGGAACUGAAACACGGUCCAGACUCCUACGGGAGGCAGCAGUGGGAAUUUUGCGCAAUGGGGAAACCCUGACGCAGCAACGCCGCGUGGA